rnacentral:rRNA from 1 species
AUUGAACGCUGGCGGCAGGCCUAACACAUGCAAGUCGAGCGGUAACACAGGGAGCUUGCUCCUGGGUGACGAGCGGCGGACGGGUGAGUAAUGUCUGGGAAACUGCCUGAUGGAGGGGGAUAACUACUGGAAACGGUAGCUAAUACCGCAUAACGUCGCAAGACCAAAGAGGGGGACCUUCGGGCCACUUGCCAUCAGAUGGGCCCAGAUGGGAUUAGCUAGUAGGUGGGGUAACGGCUCACCUAGGCGACGAUCCCUAGCUGGUCUGAGAGGAUGGCCAGCCACACUGGAACUGAGACACGGUCCAGACUCCUACGGGAGGCAGCAGUGGGGAAUAUUGCACAAUGGGCGCAAGCCUGAUGCAGCCAUGCCGCGUGUAUGAAGAAGGCCUUCGGGUUGUAAAGUACUUUCAGCGGGGAGGAAGGCGAUAAGGUUAAUAACCUUGUCGAUUGACGUUACCCGCAGAAGAAGCACCGGCUAACUCCGUGCCAGCAGCCGCCGUAA